GCGGCCUAUCAGCUUGUUGGUGGGGUAAUGGCCUACCAAGGCGUCGACGGGUAGCCGGCCUGAGAGGGUGUACGGCCACAUUGGGACUGAGACACGGCCCAGACUCCUACGGGAGGCAGCAGUGGGGAAUAUUGCACAAUGGGCGAAAGCCUGAUGCAGCGACGCCGCGUGGGGGAUGAAGGCCUUCGGGUUGUAAACUCCUUUCGCUAGGGACGAAGAGUUAUAUUGACGGUACCUGGAGAAGAAGCACCGGCUAACUACGUGCCAGCAGCCGCGGUAAUACGUAGGGUGCGAGCGUUGUCCGGAAUUACUGGGCGUAAAGAGCUCGUAGGUGGUUUGUCGCGUCGUCUGUGAAAUCCCGGGGCUUAACUCCGGGCGUGCAGGCGAUACGGGCAUAACUUGAGUGCUGUAGGGGAGACUGGAAUUCCUGGUGUAGCGGUGAAAUGCGCAGAUAUCAGGAGGAACACCAAUGGCGAAGGCAGGUCUCUGGGCAGUAACUGACGCUGAGGAGCGAAAGCAUGGGUAGCGAACAGGAUUAGAUACCCUGGUAGUCCAUGCCGUAAACGGUGGGCGCUAGGUGUAGGGGACUUCCACGUCUUCUGUGCCGCAGCUAACGCAUUAAGCGCCCCGCCUGGGGAGUACGG
rnacentral:rRNA from 1 species